rnacentral:rRNA from 1 species
AUAAUGGGUCAGCGACUUAUAUUCUGUAGCAAGGUUAACCGAAUAGGGGAGCCGAAGGGAAACCGAGUCUUAACUGGGCGUUAAGUUGCAGGGUAUAGACCCGAAACCCGGUGAUCUAGCCAUGGGCAGGUUGAAGGUUGGGUAACACUAACUGGAGGACCGAACCGACUAAUGUUGAAAAAUUAGCGGAUGACUUGUGGCUGGGGGUGAAAGGCCAAUCAAACCGGGAGAUAGCUGGUUCUCCCCGAAAGCUAUUUAGGUAGCGCCUCGUGAAUUCAUCUCCGGGGGUAGAGCACUGUUUCGGCAAGGGGGUCAUCCCGACUUACCAACCCGAUGCAAACUGCGAAUACCGGAGAAUGUUAUCACGGGAGACACACGGCGGGUGCUAACGUCCGUCGUGAAGAGGGAAACAACCCAGACCGCCAGCUAAGGUCCCAAAGUCAUGGUUAAGUGGGAAACGAUGUGGGAAGGCCCAGACAGCCAGGAUGUUGGCUUAGAAGCAGCCAUCAUUUAAAGAAAGCGUAAUAGCUCACUGGUCGAGUCGGCCUGCGCGGAAGAUGUAACGGGGCUAAACCAUGCACCGAAGCUGCGGCAGCGACGCUGAUGCGUUGUUGGGUAGGGGAGCGUUCUGUAAGCCUGUGAAGGUGUGCUGUGAG